AAAUAACACUGAAUCUGUCGAAUUAUAUUAUUCCCGUAACGAUCAAUUAGUGAUCCUAAUUUUAAUUGGACCCUGAAAUAUAUUAAAUUUUGUAAAGUUUAUGCUGAUUGGAAGCAUCAAGAUGUCUGAACGAUCGAUGAUUAUAAUAACCCCGACAGCAAACAAUCAGCAAAUUCUUCUAUUUUAAUACUAUAUAGCACGCUCGGUUUCUCCAUAAAAAAACGUCAAUGACAAUUGUUACAGGAUAAAGUUGGAAACAAAAAUAUAUAUUCUUGGACAUGUCGAAAAAUGUGUUCUUCUUUCAAUUCUACUUCAUGAUUCGCUACUAGGUUCGUGUAGACUGGAGACUGUAGUGUGAAGUUUUGGUCACAUUUCAAACAUAUUUCAGGAAAGUUUUAAUUAUUAAGUAUAAUAAUUAAUAAUGCGGUACAUUCUCUUCUGCGUAUGCCUACAUUGGAGUAUAAUUCGGAUAGAGUGGGUAUUGCGGGAAAAGGUCAGGCAAACAAAAGAGGUUAACUCAAUAAAUGAACUAAUAUCAUUUUAGUCAAUUUACUGUCGACGAUUCUGAUUGGUUAAAAACCGAUCGGCACAGUGUGCCGAUUAAAG